CCUACGGGGGACAGCAGUGAGGAAUAUUGGUCAAUGGGCGCGAGCCUGAACCAGCCAAGUCGUGUGAGGGAGGACGGCCCUACGGGUUGUAAACCUCUUUUGCCGGGGAGCAACGGGCGUCACGUGUGGCGCCACUGAGAGUACCCGGAGAAAAAGCAUCGGCUAACUCCGUGCCAGCAGCCGCGGUAAUACGGAGGAUGCGAGCGUUAUCCGGAUUUAUUGGGUUUAAGGGGUGCGUAGGCGGAUCGUUAAGUCAGUGGUCAAAUUGAGGGGCUCAACCCCUUCCCGCCAUUGAAACUGGCGUUCUUGAGUGGAAGAGAAGUAUGCGGAAUGCGUGGUGUAGCGGUGAAAUGCAUAGAUAUCACGCAGAACCCCGAUUGCGAAGGCAGCAUGCCGGCUUCCGACUGACGCUGAAGCUCGAAAGUGUGGGUAUCAAACAGGAUUAGAUACCCUUGUAGUC
rnacentral:rRNA from 1 species